rnacentral:ncRNA from 1 species
UAUAUUUGCCGCGCUAAUUAAAAAUUAGUUAGGCUACAUAAAAAUCAUUUAAAAUAAUAUUGGCAUG